ACAUACGACCAUAGGGUGUGGAGAACAGGGCUUCCCGUCCGCUCAGCCGUACUUAAGCCACACGCCGGUAAGUUAGUAGUUAGGUGGGUGACCACUAGCGAAUCCUUACUGUUGUAUGUU
rfam:Penicillium antarcticum strain IBT 31811 PENANT_contig008, whole genome shotgun sequence.